rnacentral:rRNA from 1 species
AGUGAACGCUGGCGGCGUGCCUAAUACAUGCAAGUCGAACGGAGUGGCGCACGGGUGAGUAAUAUAUAUCUAAUCUGCCCCUUGCUGUAGGACAACCGUUAGAAAUGCCUUCUAAUACUCCAUAGCAAGGGAUGUGACUCUAUCGUAUCAGCUAGUCGGUGGGGUAACGGCCUACCGAGGCUAUGACGAGUAACUUGUCUGAGAGGAUGAUCAGGCACAUUGGAACUGAGACACGGUCCAAACGCCUACGGGAGGCAGCAGUAGGGAAUAGUGCGCAAGGGGGGAAACCCUGACGAAGCAACGCCGCGUGGAGGAUGACACUUUUCGGAGCGUAAAAUCCUUUUGGUAGGGAAGCGGUACCUAACGAAUAAGCACCGGCUAACUCCGUGCCAGCAGCCGCGGUAAUUC